rnacentral:rRNA from 1 species
UGAGGAAUAUUGGUCAAUGGACGCAAGUCUGAACCAGCCAAGUAGCGUGCAGGAUGACGGCCCUAUGGGUUGUAAACUGCUUUUAUAUGGGGAUAAAGUGGGGAACGUGUUCCCUUUUGCAGGUACCAUAUGAAUAAGGACCGGCUAAUUCCGUGCCAGCAGCCGCGGUAAUACGGAAGGUUCGGGCGUUAUCCGGAUUUAUUGGGUUUAAAGGGAGCGUAGGCCGUUUGGUAAGCGUGUUGUGAAAUGUAGGAGCUCAACUUCUAGAUUGCAGCGUGAACUGUCAGACUUGAGUGCGCACAACGUAGGCGGAAUUCAUGGUGUAGCGGUGAAAUGCUUAGAUAUCAUGAAGAACUCCGAUUGCGAAGGCAGCUUACGGGAGCGCAACUGUCGCUGAAGCUCGAAGGUGCGGGUAUCGAACAGG